rnacentral:rRNA from 1 species
CCUACGGGUGGCUGCAGUGAGGAAUAUUGGUCAAUGGGCGCGAGCCUGAACCAGCCACGUAGCGUGAAGGAUGACUGCCCUACGGGUUGUAAACUUCUUUUAUAAAGGAAUAAAGUGAGGCACGUGUGCCUUUUUGUCUGUCCUUUAUGAUUCAGGCUCGGCUAACUCCGUGCCAGCAGCCGCGGUAAUACGGAGGAUCCGAGCGUUAUCCGGAUUUAUUGGGUUUAAAGGGAGCGUAGAUGGGUUGUUAAGUCAGUUGUGAAAGUUUGCGGCUCAACCGUAAAAUUGCAAUUGAUACUGGCAGCCUUGAGUACAGUAGAGGUAGGCGGAAUUCGUGGUGUAGCGGUGAAAUGCUUAGAUAUCACGAAGAACUCCGAUUGCGAAGGCAGCCUACUAAACUGCCACUGACAUUGAUGCUCGAAAGUGUGGGUAUCAAACAGGAUUAGAUACCCUAGUAGUC